rnacentral:rRNA from 1 species
UGGCGAAUGAAGAGGGAAAAGCCCAAAUUUGUAAUCUGGCUCUUUCAGAGUCCGAGUUGUAAUUUUAAGAACUGUUUUCAGUGCUGGACCAUAUACAAGUCUUCUGAAAAGAAGCAUCAUAGAAGGUGAUAAUCCUGUUCAUGAUAUGGACCACCAGUGCAAUAUGAUACAGUCUCUAAGAGUCGAGUUGUUUGGGAAUGCAGCUCAAAGUGGGUGGUAAAUUCCAUCUAAGGCUAAAUAUUGAUGAGAGACCGAUAGCAAACAAGUACCGUGAGGGAAAGAUGAAAAGAACUUUGGAAAGAGAGUUAACAGUACGUGAAAUUGUUAAAAGGGAAACAAUUGAAGUUAGACUUGUUAUUAAUAGUUCAACCUUUUUUAAAAGGAGUAUUCUAUUGAUUAACAGACCAACAUCAGUUUUUGGGUGUUGGAGAAGGGUUUAAGGAAAUGUAGCAGUCUUUGACUGUGUUAUAUUCCUUCUGACU